UACGUAGGGAGCAAGCGUUGUUCGGAUUUACUGGGCGUAAAGGGCGCGUAGGCGGCGUGUUAAGUCAGCUGUGAAAUCUCCAAGCUCAACUUGGAACGGCCAGCUGAUACUGAUGUGCUAGAGUGCAGAAGGGGCAAUCGGAAUUCUUGGUGUAGCGGUGAAAUGCGUAGAUAUCAAGAGGAACACCGGUGGCGAAGGCGGCGACCUGGACCGACACUGACGCUAAUACACGAAAGCGUGGGGAGCAAACAGG
rnacentral:rRNA from 1 species